GGGGGGGGGGGGGUGCGGCUCCGGUGGACGACACAGACAGAUGCUGCGUUGCCCAUGACAACUGCUACGCCCUGCCCAGCUGGUUUGGCGGCAUCUUCAUCCUGUACAGCUACAGGUGUGAGGACGGGACCGUCACCUGCACCAGCCGGAGCGCCCUGCGGCGCCGCGUGUGCGAGUGUGACAAGGCGCUUGCCGAGUGUUUCGCCCGUUCUCCGUACGAACCGCAGUACAAAAACUACCAGUACUGCGGCCUGGACAGGGUGGCAGGGACCACACCGGAGACAACCACCGGCCAGAACACCUCUCACGUUGGGCCCACGGACUGACCGUCACUGGGCCAUGAGUGAAUCUAUGUUAAACAACUUACUUUGCAUUGUUGAUGCAUCCAUGAAUAAAGUAAUGU